CAGCCGCCGCGGGAAUACCGAGGGUGCGAGCGUUAAUCGGAUUUACUGGGCGUAAAGCGUGCGUAGGCGGCUUUUUAAGUCGGAUGUGAAAUCCCUGAGCUUAACUUAGGAAUUGCAUUCGAUACUGGGAAGCUAGAGUAUGGGAGAGGAUGGUAGAAUUCCAGGUGUAGCGGUGAAAUGCGUAGAGAUCUGGAGGAAUACCGAUGGCGAAGGCAGCCAUCUGGCCUAAUACUGACGCUGAGGUACGAAAGCAUGGGGAGCAAACAGGAUUAGAUACCCCAGUAGUCCCUGUCUCUUAUAA
rnacentral:rRNA from 1 species